GACGAACGCUGGCGGCGUGCUUAACACAUGCAAGUCGAACGGUAAGGCCCUUCGGGGUACACGAGUGGCGAACGGGUGAGUAACACGUGGGUGAUCUGCCCUGCACUUCGGGAUAAGCCUGGGAAACUGGGUCUAAUACCGGAUAGGACCACUGCCUGCAUGGGUGGUGGUGGAAAGCUUUUGCGGUGGGGGAUGGGCCCGCGGCCUAUCAGCUUGUUGGUGGGGUGAUGGCCUACCAAGGCGACGACGGGUAGCCGGCCUGAGAGGGUGACCGGUCACACUGGGACGUGGAUACGGCCCAGACUCCUACGGGAGGCAGCAGUGGGGAAUAUUGCGCAAUGGGCGCAAGCCUGAUGCAGCGACGCCGCGUGAGGGAUGACGGCCUUCGGGUUGUAAACCUCUUUCAGCACCGACGAAGCGCAAGUGACGGUAGGUGCAGAAGAAGGACCGGCCAACUACGUGCCAGCCGCCGCGGUAA
rnacentral:rRNA from 1 species